rnacentral:rRNA from 1 species
UACGAGGGGGGCAAGCGUUGUUCGGAAUUAUUGGGCGUAAAGGGCGCGUAGGCGGUGCGGUAAGUCUGAUGUGAAAUCUCCGGGCUCAACUCGGAGUCUGCAUCAGAAACUGCCGGGCUUGAGUGUGGGAGAGGUGAGUGGAAUUCCCGGUGUAGCGGUGAAAUGCGCAGAUAUCAGGAAGAACACCCGUGGCUAAGGCGGUUCUCUAGUACGGUACUGACGCUGAGACGCGAAAGCGUGGGGAGCGAACAGG